rnacentral:rRNA from 1 species
UUUUUCCUACGGGGGGCAGCAGUGAGGAAUAUUGGUCAAUGGGCGCAAGCCUGAACCAGCCACGUCGCGUGAGGGAUGACGGUCCUAUGGAUUGUAAACCUCUUUUGUCGGGGAGCAACGAGGCCACGUGUGGCCGAAGUGAGAGUACCCGAAGAAAAAGCAUCGGCUAACUCCGUGCCAGCAGCCGCGGUAAUACGGAGGAUGCGAGCGUUAUCCGGAUUUAUUGGGUUUAAAGGGUGCGUAGGCGGAACAUUAAGUCAGCGGUAAAAUCGAGGGGCUCAACCCCUUUAAGCCGUUGAAACUGG